ensembl:lncRNA
UUUUACACAAAGGUAUUUUUCUUGUGUAGAUGUAUAAACACUCAACUUUUUACCAUCGGAAGUUUUCUGACCUGAUACAUCCUUUAAUGACUUCAUUUCCCACAAACUUCUAUAAAAAGUCUUUAUUCAAGCAGAACGGAAACACUUAAACGACGUUCGUGCUGCCUUUUGGUCGCGUGGGAACAAACAUCCCGUAAAACACAAUGCUUGUUUAUCAGCGGCUUUGUCGUGUAGCCUGAUUGCGUGCUUUUGACGGUUGCCGCACAGAUUGCGCGCAGAAGCACCAGGCGCUGAGCCCCCCCCCCCCCUGUCAGCAAUUGCCAUCUGCCGCCUCUUUUUCACUUUCAAAACCAUCAGAAUAUUCCCCGCACACAGACCGCUGUUCAAAUAGCGUCUCGAAAAAAAAAGCAGCUGCGCAGAAAUCAGCCCUCUUUCCGCAUUUUGCGCUCAGCCGACGAGAGCCGCGCGACCGCUUUGCACGCGAGCCGUCUGCGGCUGAGAGGAGGGCUGCGGGCUCAGGGAGACCAAGCGGAUUUGAAUUAAGCACCGGAUAACACACAACGACUUGUGCAUCCCUUCGGCGAAGGAGGGAGGACGCUGUUUUGUGUCUUGGGAGCCCUGGGUUUGGAGAAGGGGGGAGAGAAGAGGAGGAAGAGGAGAGGAGCGGAGAAUGAGCUAUUUCUUGUACCGGCAGAGGCAGCAGCCAGGACCCGCCAGCCGCUAAGAAGCCCGCCGGUGAUAAUCCGGGCAGAGACACCGGAGGCACAGACCGCAGCAGCAGCAGCAGCCCGCAGGACACCGCGGCGAUGAAAGUGAAGAAAGGCUGCAACGCGACCGACGCGGGGGUCCCGGUGACCACGGAGGAGGACCUGCUCGGCGGCUCGGGGGUCACUCCGGAGGAUGUUCUGGGCUUGCAGAAGAUCACGGAGAAGCCGUCACUGAAGGCAAUGGGACGCGUGUGUGAAUCACCACAGCAACGCAGAUACACGCUUGAAUCACCACGGCAACGUGAAGCGUCUCCCUGUGGUUACAGCCGUUGGAACACGCAUCUGUGUUCUCCUACACAUUUCCUCCUUUACUUUCCUCCUCUCUUCUCCUCUGCUUCGCCAGUAAACAUGCUGUCACUUAAUGGAUGAGACGAAUCGGACAAACUCCCACUUGCUUGUGGCGGUUAAACAAAGCAAGAAGCAGCUUGAAGAAAGCCACUGCAGCCCCUCUGUUGUGUUGUGACUCGUUUGUCUCUGGUCUCCUGCUGCUGCUCAUUCUCAGGUGGCUGAAAUAGAUUCCCUCCCGAAGUGGCAUGGUGCACAUUUGACCAAACUCGGAGUUCAGUUAUCCUUGACAACAGUCGUGGGUCAAAAACGUUGUUGUUUUUGAG